GGGUAACAGGGUUGCUUGCAACCGCUGACGACCGGCGCACGGGUGCGUAACGCGUAUAGAACCUACCUUUUACUGAGGGAUAGCCCAGAGAAAUUUGGAUUAAUACCUCAUGGUAUUGUGAAGUGGCCUCACUUUAUAAUUAAAGAUUUAUCGGUAAGAGAUGGCUAUGCGUCCUAUUAGCUAGUUGGUAUGGUAACGGCAUACCAAGGCUACGAUAGGUAGGGGUCCUGAGAGGGAGAUCCCCCACACUGGUACUGAGACACGGACCAGACUCCUACGGGAGGCAGCAGUGAGGAAUAUUGGACAAUGGAGGCAACUCUGAUCCAGCCAUGCCGCGUGCAGGAAGACUGCCCUAUGGGUUGUAAACUGCUUUUAUAGAGGAAGAAUGCCCACUACGUGUAGUGGUUUGACGGUACUCUACGAAUAAGGAUCGGCUAACUCCGUGCCAGCAGCCGCGGUAAUACGGAGGAUCCAAGCGUUAUCCGGAAUCAUUGGGUUUAAAGGGUCCGUAGGCGGGUUUAUAAGUCAGUGGUGAAAGUUUGCGGCUCAACCGUAAAAUUGCCAUUGAUACUGUAGACCUUGAAUUAUUGUGAAGUGGUUAGAAUAAGUAGUGUAGCGGUGAAAUGCAUAGAUAUUACUUAGAAUACCGAUUGCGAAGGCAGAUCACUAACAAUCAAUUGACGCUAAGGGACGAAAGCGUGGGUAGCGAACAGGAUUAGAUACCCUGGUAGUCCACGCCGUAAACGAUGGUUACUAGCUGUUUGGACUUCGGUCUGAGUGGCUAAGCGAAAGUGAUAAGUAACCCACCUGGGGAGUACGUUCGCAAGAAUGAAACUCAAAGGAAUUGACGGGGGCCCGCACAAGCGGUGGAGCAUGUGGUUUAAUUCGAUGAUACGCGAGGAA
rnacentral:rRNA from 1 species